rnacentral:lncRNA from 1 species
GUAUGUUUUGUAGUAUCUCUUUGCUUGUGUAGUUCCUAUCAAGGAAAAAAUGCUUUAUUCAAAAGUUUGUGCUGAUUCAGAAAGACGUUAUGAGAUACAAAGACAUUCUUAAAAUGUUUCCUUGCUACUUUUUGUCUAGCCAUUUGUACAACAACACAAUUUUUUUUUGCAUAAACAUAGUAACUGUUAUAAUAUUUUAUUAUUAUUGCAAAAGUNAAAACGGUUUGCAACGUUUAUAUUUCAAUUAAUUGGCAACGGAAAGUUUUAUCACAAUGUUAAAUGCAUUGCAACGUUAUUUUUCAACAUUCAAAUUAUUUUAAAUUAAAUCAUUUAUGUUUUUUAAUUUCUUUUAAUGUCUUGUUUCCUUUCCUCCCCCUAUAAAUAGGGAGCUCCUCCUCCAUUCCAAGACACACCAAAAAAUCAUUCUUCUCUUUUCUGAGUUUUAUUCUCUAGCUCUUUUCUCUCUUCUAAAAUAUUCUGGGUUGUUCUUAUACUCUUUUAAGAGUUCCUUGCUAGUUCUGAGAUCCUCAGAAAUAUUCUGAGAAGUUCCUGUUGUAUCCUGGGGGACUUGCGCACACCGCGGAUAAGUCCUUAAGGACAGUGACUCUACACGCCUCAGGAAAAUUUGUUCGUGAUUCUGUCAGCCUUUUACAACA